UUUUAUUGGAGAUACCUUAUCGAAUGUUGGAUUUCCUUCAAAUCUGUCUAAGAUUAUUAUGGAAUGUAUUACAACGGCGUGUACAGGCCUAUUUUUCCCGGCACGCUAGAAAAUAUAAAAAUAAGCUAAAAAGGGUCCAGUUCAUUUACAACAGGCCCGAAAGGCCCAAACCCAAAUCAACCAUGGCCUAAACUUAAAACAAUUUCAGUAAAAAACCUAACCCUAGCCCUUGCCUCGCGCCGCUGCUCCCAUGUGUGCCUUCAGCGCACACCACGCCCGAGGCCUGCCAUCGCCAGUCGGCCUUACACCAAAAUGGCAAGCCACGCCUCUGCCUUCGCCAAAUACCUGCAAGCAACAUGAAAGAAGAAACAAACAGCAGCAAAUAUUUUUCUUUUAUAAAACCCAAACAAAUGUAAUAUGAAUGGGGGGGCCUCAACUGAAUGGUUUUUUUCUUUAUGUUUUCUUCUUUUCUUUCGGCAAAAGCCGAAUACGUUGUAAAAGAGGGGGCUUUUGACAAACAUUAAGAAAAUAAAAGAAACAGAAACACGUUUCUAAAAGUUUUUUUUUCAGAUUUACAUCAUUUUUUUCGUCUUUUAUUUUUUAUUUUUUUGUUUAUUUUAUACAUUAAAA
rnacentral:lncRNA from 1 species